UACGAAGGGGGCUAGCGUUGCUCGGAAUGACUGGGCGUAAAGGGCGCGUAGGCGGAUGGCACAGUCAGAUGUGAAAUUCCCGGGCUUAACCUGGGGGCUGCGUUUGAUACGUGCGGACUUGAGUGCGGAAGAGGGUCGUGGAAUUCCCAGUGUAGAGGUGAAAUUCGUAGAUAUUGGGAAGAACACCGGUGGCGAAGGCGGCGACCUGGUCCGAUACUGACGCUGAGGCGCGAAAGCGUGGGGAGCAAACAGG
rnacentral:rRNA from 1 species